GUGAAUGCCUCCGGCGGGUUACUAUGGAAACGGCGCUGGAGAGCGCGCGUCGCUACGGGGUGACGUCAUCAUACCCCGUCCAGGAAGCAAACACAGCGUGCGGGAUGGUUUGUCUGGUGUGGUAUAUAAGCGCUGUGAAUGCCUCCGGCGGGUUACUAUGGAAACGGCGCUGGAGAGCGCGCGUCGCUACGGGGUGACGUCAUCAUACCCCGUCCAGGAAGCAAACACAGCGUGCGGGAUGGUUUGUCUGGUGUGGUAUAUAAGGUAAGACUAUUUGAUUUGUAAACUGUUCUUGUCCUGACGAAAUUUAUGUUAAUAAAUGAAACGUUGACUCUUUGAA